GAUGAACGCUGGCGGCGUGCCUAAUACAUGCAAGUCGAGCGAACAGACGAGGAGCUUGCUCCUCUGACGUUAGCGGCGGACGGGUGAGUAACACGUGGAUAACCUACCUAUAAGACUGGGAUAACUUCGGGAAACCGGAGCUAAUACCGGAUAAUAUAUUGAACCGCAUGGUUCAAUAGUGAAAGACGGUUUUGCUGUCACUUAUAGAUGGAUCCUCGCCGCAUUAGCUAGUUGGUAAGGUAACGGCUUACCAAGGCAACGAUGCGUAGCCGACCUGAGAGGGUGAUCGGCCACACUGGAACUGAGACACGGUCCAGACUCCUACGGGAGGCAGCAGUAGGGAAUCUUCCGCAAUGGGCGAAAGCCUGACGGAGCAACGCCGCGUGAGUGAUGAAGGUCUUCGGAUCGUAAAACUCUGUUAUUAGGGAAGAACAAAUGUGUAAGUAACUAUGCACGCCUUGACGGUACCUAAUCAGAAAGCCACGGCUAACUACGUG
rnacentral:rRNA from 1 species